AAAUGCGACCCAAAGGAAUAUCCAAUGCCAGGCUAAAAGGUUACUGGGAGAGAAGAAAAAGAGCAAAAGGUAUACCUGUUGAAGUUUCAAGUAGUCAAGAACCCAAGUCUUUAAAUCCUUAUCCAAACAUAUCAUCACUGCCUAAUUUUCUAACACAGAAUUUCUUUCCUCCAAGGCAUAGGGAAUCAUACACUGC